UAAUUAUGACGAUCAGCAAUUAUGAUUCAAAACGAUAUAAUGUUUAUUACUCGUGAUUUACUAUGGAGUUCUGACAUCUGUCUUUGUUUAGGUUCUGAGGACAACGCCAGUACUACCGGAGGAGGCAGGAAGAGGAUGUGGACAGCAGAGGAGACGGAGUGGGUGAAGGAGGGAGUGAGGCGCUACGGAGAGGGGAACUGGUCCAGAGUAAAGUCCUCUUUCCCCUUCUUGGGCCGAACCUCCGUGAACAUCAAGGACCGGUGGAGAACCAUGAAGAAACUCAAGUUGGUCUGAGGGGACCAAAGCGUCUAACUUGUCCAAUAAGAAAUUAUAUUUUUAAGUUUACAUUUACUACGGGGUGCAGUAACCAAUUCGAACGCUGGAGGGCCUCGGAGCUACGCAAGACGAUGAUGACGUUCUCCAGAUGUGAGACGUUUCCUUUCCACAAAGGAUGCAUGCUUGCCCGUCGCACAUCUGUCAACAGGAAGCUGAAGACUGUCGGAGGACCUUUGGACUAAGAUACAUGUUGAUUCUGCCAUUUUGUUUUAGACAUGUUUAUAGAAGUAUUUUAUCACUUGUCUUUCUUGGUAAAAUAAAGACUUCUCUUCUACUGA